rnacentral:lncRNA from 1 species
GGAUCGGUGGCGGAUGAGCUCGAAUUCGUCGUCGUCGCCGGAUCGAUGGCGGAGAAGCUCGAGAUCCGAUUUGCCAGAGCGGGAUGGUUUCACCGGAAAAUUGAAGAAGAAGAAGAAGAUGAAUAGUGAUGACCAGAAAAAAAAUAAAAAAAAAAAUAAAAAAAGAAGAAACGGAGUUAAACCGCCGUUAACGGCUGGACCUAUCUGUAUAUUUUUCUUCGACUUUGGGGGCCAAAUUGUACCAAAGUCGAGUAUGGGGGUUUAAACGCUCUAGGGGGGUCUACCUUAGGGG